GCUCAUUCAUUUUCUAGGAAGCAAGGCUUUUGUGUGUAAGUGUUUAGCAAACUUGUAACCUGUCUUCCCUCCACUAUCCCACAUCUGGCUGAAGAAGAAGAAGAAGAAUGACUUUAACCACACUCUUUGAUUAAUAUGGCAUUAGCUAACGCUACAGAGCCAUCAUUUAGCAUUGCAUUCAUGUUUGACAUGGGCUGUGUUCAUCAAGGUGAGGAAGAUGUCAAUCAAUGUUUUUGAGCUAGGUUUUCUAAUAGAUGUUGACAUUUAUUUUCACUCAGAUUUUUGUGGAUGCUUAAUGAAACACUCAACUUUAAUAUCAUAUAUGCAUUUUUACUAUUUCAAACCAAAUUUCCAGAGGCUUUAAUGUUGUUAGCCUAUGGUUUUAUGCUGGCUUCUGGAGAAGUUAUUAAAAUGCAUUUUUUUAAUGAAUUGGGUGGGGAUUAACCAGGAUUGUGCGGAAAACUGCCAAUCUAAUCUGGCAACACUGCUGAUGGCAUGCCAUUGCCAGGUCUGCCCACCAAUGAGGAUGGAGAGGAGGCCACACUGGUUGGACAGAUGAUGACUUGCAAGGCUGACACCGAAGCCAAGCAGGCCCAAAAUGACCCUGAAGCAUGCCCUAUAACAAGCAGGCAGAGAUGAACAAGAUGGACAGUGGCUACAAGAAUGAUCAGGACUCCCUGCAGUCUGUGUGAAGCAGCAAGGAGCAACUACAGGCUAGGAAGGAGGAGAGUCUGCUGGACCAAAGAAGACGGCCAACCAUGCAGAAACUGCGAGAGGAAUGAUCAUCAUACCUGGAGUACCAGAAACUGACGCGUGAGAUCCACCACUUGUCACAGCUGAGGAGAUCCAGAGGUCAGCUACUCUUCAG